rnacentral:lncRNA from 1 species
GACUGAAGCUCGGUUGGGACGUCUGGUGGAGUGGAAUAGCUCUCUGUCUCAGUAAUCUGAGAGAAACCUGAAUAUUUUUAAGGUUGUUGACAGGCUGUUGUUGGGUGCCUUAGGCAUUGAUGCUGUAGAUCGAAGUCAUCUGCUGUAGAAGCUCGGGCGGAAACUUUCUGUUGGAGAAGUCCGACAGGAGUCUGAUUGCUAGAGAAGUCCAUCUGAAAUUUAUCUGAUGU